rnacentral:rRNA from 1 species
CGGGAUAGUUUAGUGGCGGACGGGUGAGUAACACGUGAGCAACCUACCUUCGAGAGGGGAAUAACGGCUGGAAACGGUCGCUAAUACCGCAUAACAUACUGGGGGGACAUCCCUUUGGUAUCAAAGAUUUUAUCGCUCGGAGAUGGGCUCGCGUCCGAUUAGGUAGUUGGUGAGGUAACGGCUCACCAAGCCGACGAUCGGUAGCCGGACUGAGAGGUCGAACGGCCACAUUGGGACUGAGACACGGCCCAGACUCCUACGGGAGGCAGCAG